CGGUUAUCCCGUGGUGAUUUGCCGGUCGGCUUGCAGCCACGUUAAACAAGUCGCUAAAGGGCCGAGAUGAAACCGGC
rnacentral:ncRNA from 2 species